GACGAACGCUGGCGGCGUGCUUAACACAUGCAAGUCGAGCGGGGGCUUCGGCCCCAGCGGCGAACGGGUGAGUAACACGUGGGCAACCUGCCCCGAGCACUGGGAUAACCCCGGGAAACCGGGGCUAAUACCGGAUAUGACCGCGACAGGCAUCUGUCACGGUGGAAAGGUUUAUUCUGGCUCGGGAUGGGCCCGCGGCCUAUCAGCUUGUUGGUGGGGUAGUGGCCUACCAAGGCGACGACGGGUAGCCGGCCUGAGAGGGCGACCGGCCACACUGGGACUGAGACACGGCCCAGACUCCUACGGGAGGCAGCAGUGGGGAAUAUUGCGCAAUGGGCGAAAGCCUGACGCAGCGACGCCGCGUGAGGGAUGAAGGCCUUCGGGUUGUAAACCUCUUUCAGCAGGGACGAAGCGAAAGUGACGGUACCUGCAGAAGAAGCACCGGCCAACUACGUGCCAGCAGCCGCGGUAAUACGUAGGGUGCAAGCGUUGUCCGGAAUUAUUGGGCGUAAAGAGCUCGUAGGCGGCCUGUCACGUCGGCUGUGAAAACCCGAGGCUCAACCUCGGGCCUGCAGUCGAUACGGGCAGGCUAGAGUCCGGUAGGGGAGACUGGAAUUCCUGGUGUAGCGGUGAAAUGCGCAGAUAUCAGGAGGAACACCGGUGGCGAAGGCGGGUCUCUGGGCCGGAACUGACGCUGAGGAGCGAAAGCGUGGGGAGCGAACAGGACUAGAUACCCUGGUAGUCCACGCCGUAAACGUUGGGCGCUAGGUGUGGGGGGUUUUCUACACCCUCCGUGCCGCAGCUAACGCAUUAAGCGCCCCGCCUGGGGAGUACGGCCGCAAGGCUA
rnacentral:rRNA from 1 species